CAACAUUUAAGGCAGACAGUAAUGUUCCAGCUAGUCUCUCAAUGUCUGAUGGUCAUCAUGUUCAGCGUGAAGCAAGCUGCUCUGCUCUUCAUUCAGCUGUUACAGACAACCUAUGUAUUUGCAGGCACUGCUACAGCAGACCACUAUGAUGUGUCGGUGUCCAGAGGAAGCUCAGUCAUGCUCACUUGCAAUAUAUCUGAAGAAAAUACAACAAUGAUCAAAUGGACCAAAGACAGAUGGUAUUUUAUAUACUCCUCCUACAGUAAUCAAACUUUUUCAAAUUUCUCCUCUCACAGACUGAGAAUAGACACAAACAUACCUUCUACGCUCAGUAUUGAUAAUGCUCAGCAUGAUGAUGCAGGACUUUAUUCUUGUAAUAUAAAUGGGAAUAGAGGCUUUAACGACAUGACAUGGACUGUAACAGUUCUUGAAAAUCAAAACGGUAUGUAAGCAUUUACUGACCCUUUCUGUAACACACACUGUAACAUUUAAAAAAUAAUCUGUGUGCCAUGUUGAUAUUCUUUUUUAGGAACCAGUUCAUCACAGUAUAUUAUAUUCAUUUUACCAUCUGCCUUUGGAUUGCUUUUAUUUUGUUCAGCAUUAACUGUCUGCCUCUGCAGAAAAUGUGGCACCAGAAAAGAAAGACAGAAAUCAGUCCAACACCAGUCUCAGCUUCAAUCGGGAGGACAGGGAGUCCAGAAUCAGCUGCAAGGCACAGGUCAGUGGAAGAGCAAAAAGCGCAGAAGAGACUACCUGGAAAAACUGAAUUCUGUUUAUGGUCAAGCCUGAGCUCAGACCUCUUUUAUUUACUUGAAGAAAUAGACCCAGUUUGAAGGACAUUAUUAUUGUGAUUAUUUAACUAAGGAGAUGUUUGACAUGUCAAUAAAAGGAAGUCACAAAUCAACAACAUAUAUGUCUUUACACAUUGUCUAUAAUAUGCAAAAUAUUUGUAACCACGAUGUACUUUAUAGGGAAGUUCAACUGUAUAAGAGAAGCAAUCUGUUAUUAAGUCUUGUUAAUUUUUAUUGAUUUUACUGCUUAAAUGCAUUAUAGUGCAACUUAUGCCCAGUAGAGGGCAGGUGUCGUCCUUCUUAGCUUCCCGUAGGGGAAUAAAAAUUGUGUCGAGUCUUUUUCCACAUUCUCUCAUUUGCAAACACUAUUGUUACGCUGAGUCUAUUUUCUAAACCGGAUGCCAGAUUGCCAAACAUGAUUUUCUGGUCUGUGGUAAGAUGAAGAUGCAUCUACUCCUCUGAUAAGGUAGUGACAGACAGUAAACUGAUCAGUGUUAUUAUCAAUAUGUAAUCACAAAGACACUGCUGUGUUAUAAAAAAUGCAAAGACUUUCAUGUUUUUUAAGAUAACAAAAUAUGUGUGGAGGGAGGCAGAUGUAAAGUGAGAAAAAUGUGUCAGAGAGGAAAAACUGAAACAUGAAUAUUUUCCAUUGACAUUAGUGACAAAGUGAACAGUCAGAUGUGGAGGUACUGAGGUCAUGUAAAACAGGUUUUAGUUGGUCUUUGUUAUCAGAUGCAUCUAGUUCCUUCUUAAGGACUUCACAGUUAAGUACAACUGAAGAGACAUUUCUGGUUGUUGCCAUGCAAUCAAAACACCCCAUAAAAUUCAACUUGAUAAGCUUCUUGGGCAACUAAAGUUUCAUUUGUAAGUUUGGAAAAUGUGUAUUUUUUUUAUUUUUAUUUUUAUUUUUUACAUAGCAUUAAAACUAAACGCUGGGCCUCCAGUUUAUCUCGGGCUCUGAAACCGAUUCCAUCACGAAGUGUUCACCAAUCGCCCCAAAUCUGACCGAGAAGAGAAAAUGUAAUGAUGGAAAACCAGGCACUUGAUCAUGAGAAAUCCAAUUUCUAUAAAACAGAGACAGAAUUUAUUUCUAUAUCUCUGAUUAGAUUGGUAAUUUCUGAACUCUGCCAAAGUAAUAAAGAGUAAAGAGUGACUCUCUUGCUACAUAACUCCAUUACUCAGGUCACAUUCAUCACAGACACCUUUCUGCUCUCCAGCACCCUGCGGUGCGUUAUCUAGGCCCAUAACUUGUUCCAGUAGGAUCUACUGGUACCACAUUGACCUGUGAUGUUUCCUCAUUGCAAUACUUACCCUCAAUAACAGGAUUCCUAUCCAGUCUAUCUUCCCCAUGUGGAAUAAGAACCAUCAAGCUGCUGCACAUUCACUGUUAAUCCUGGAAAUACAGUAUAUCUAUUUUGAACCUCCCUUGCUUUAUUCCAGUUUUCUCAGCAUAUAUGUAAAAAAAAAUAAACCAUAGCAAUCAGUUUAUAAAGAUGCCAUUUAUUUAGAUUUUUUUAUCCUUCAACUACUUUUAUGUGGCCUCAAAACAGCUGUCUGCUAGUAAUGUCUUUUAGCUUUCAGCUGAGAAUAAACACAUAUACUGUAUGUUACACUUUAAAAUUCUGACAAGAUGUCAGAGGCUAAUUUGAAGUUUAUUAAACUAAAUAUGUGUGGAUGUGCUUUCUAUUUACUUCUUUAAUAUUAUUCCAAUCUUAACCUAUACUACUACACGUGCAUUAAUACAUGUCCAAUCAAUUUUACAUUUUUCUUUGAAAAACUGUCUGGCGUUACUUAAAAUGGGCCUUUUAACUGAAAUAAAAUAUCCUGAUUUAUGUGACUUCACCUGAGUGUCAAACUGCAGUAAAAGGUUUGUUUAGAUUUAGCACAGUGUAUUUCUAGUAUGAUUGUGCUGUGAAAAAUCAAUAAAAGAAACAAAGGACAUGAGCUUAUUGGCUAUGUGUAGUCAGCAUUUUUAAGAGUAAAAUAUUAAAUUAGAUAAAUAAUUAUAUAGACUUAGAACAGAGAGGGGUUGCAUGAGUUUCUUCCUUUGAAUGUUUGGCUACUCUGCAUUCUUUGGCUUCCUCCCAUUGUCUAAAAACAUGUGCAUCAUUACAAAAUCUAUAGCAAAACCAGGGAGGUUUUGCAAUAACAUACCAACAAGUUUGUUUUAAAGGCAUAUAGUAACCUUUAAAACUUAUUAGAGACAAUAUUAUUCGACACAAUAUUUGACUUGUGUCUAAUAUUUAUACGUUGGCAGAAUUACAGAAAACAGAAAUAGUUUAUUUUUCUGUUCUGAGUUAAAGCUCUUCAUUAACAAAAUGGAUCAAAGUUUGUUUAGCUUUUCUACUCUGAAGUUAGUUUCUGAUAAACAUUUGAGCUGUACCUUACCUUACUUUUUUUUUUCAAAGAAACGGAAACAGCCAUUUCCUUUUCUGCACUCCUUCACAGCAGCAUCAGAUAACAGAAUAUCUGACUCCUCAUGAGUAGAUGGACAUCAUGCUCCUCUUGAAGCAAGAAGCUUUGCUCUUUAUCCAGCUGGUAAAUAUCUGGAGUGUCUCAACAGCACACCACUAUGAUGUGUUGGUGUCCAGAGGAAGCUCAGUCAUGCUCACUUGCAAUAUAUCUAACGAAAAUACAACAAUGAUCAAAUGGACCAAAGACAGAUGGUAUUUUAUAUACUCCUCCUCCAGUAAUCAAACUUUUUCAAAUUUCUCCUCUCACAGAAUGAGAAUAGACACAAACAUACCUUCUACGCUCAGUAUUGAUAAUGCUCAGCAUGAUGACGCAGGACUUUAUUCUUGUCAUAUAACUGAGAUAAAUGGCUUUUACUCCAUGACAUGGUCUAUAACAGUUCUUGAAAAUCAAAACGGUAUGUAAUGAAUACGUCUGCAAAACAUAUACUGUGAAGUUUAAAUUUUAAUCUUUGGUUAAUAAUCCUUUUUUUUUUUCACCAAAAGGUCCAUCACAGUAUAUUACAUUUAUAUUUCCAUUUGCCAUUGGAUUAUUUUUAUGUUUCAUGACUACAGCUCUCUGCCUCUGCAGCAGGAGGAACAUAUCUGGAAACCAAACCCAGGACAGCAGAACAUUUACUUGGGUUCAAUACAACAUUGUGGAUGGGGUAAAGGCAGUUCCUUCACCAUUCCAAACUACAGCAAUAUGGAGGAGAACUGACAAGCAGGACGUGGAGGCAGGACUGAUGACCAGAGGAACAAUGAGCUCAUCACACCACUCAGGAAAUGACUGACCUAAAUAUAUGCAGAGUUCUUGGUUUGAAGAAUUCAUCAAGAAGAAGAUCCAGUUUAAAAGAUGUAACAUUUUUUAUUCUUAAAACUGGAAAUUCAAACAUGCAAUCUGAUAUAACUGUAACAUAUAACCUCUGUUUGCAACUGAAGUGAUUUAUGAUGUUUCCUCUAAAAGUAUUUUUAUGUUAUAAUUUGUCAUGUAUUCAAUAAUGGGAUGCUUCAUGUCCCUUUAUGUCCUGAAAAAGGUUUCAAUGCAUCUUCAUAAAAUGCUUAUUUUAAUAUCGAUAAAUUCAGUUCAAACUGACUCAUUUCAUUUUAGUUUCAAACCUGUCAAGUCAAGUGGAAUUUUAUUGUAUUUCUUUCCAGCAGAGGGCGUGGGUGAGUUUCCAUCAUUUUAUGCUUAAACACGGAAUUGACACAGAACCAAUAAAUAAAGGGUUAAACUGCUCAAAACUGAACACAAUAUGCAUGAAAGACAUGGAUUAAUGAGAAU